ACGCUCGACACCUACGAGAGGCAGCAGUGGGGAAUAUUGCACAAUGGGGGAAACCCUGAUGCAGCGACGCCGCGUGAGUGAAGAAGUAUUUCGGUAUGUAAAGCUCUAUCAGCAGGGAAGAAGAUGACGGUACCUGAGUAAGAAGCCCCGGCUAACUACGUGCCAGCACGCGCGGUAAUCUGAGCGGGCUGGCAAGGC
rnacentral:rRNA from 1 species